CCUACGGGAGGCAGCAGUGGGGAAUAUUGGGCAAUGGAGGAAACUCUGACCCAGCAACGCCGCGUGAAUGAUGAAGGUCUUCGGAUUGUAAAGUUCUUUUCUAAGGGAAGAAGAAAGUGACGGUACCUUAGGAAUAAGCCUCGGCUAACUACGUGCCAGCAGCCGCGGUAAUACGUAGGAGGCGAGCGUUAUCCGGAUUUAUUGGGUUUAAAGGGUGCGCAGGCGGGCUGUUAAGCCGGCGGUAAAAAUUCAGGGCUCAACCCUGUCGAGCCGUCGGAACUGGCAGUCUUGAGUGGGCGAGAAGUAUGCGGAAUGCGUGGUGUAGCGGUGAAAUGCAUAGAUAUCACGCAGAACGCCGAUUGCGAAGGCAGCAUACCGGCGCCCAACUGACGCUGAGGCACGAAAGCGUGGGGAUCGAACAGGAUUAGAUACCCCUGUAGUC
rnacentral:rRNA from 1 species